rnacentral:RNase_P_RNA from 1 species
CCAGCAAGUCGGGCGACCGCUCUUCAUAUUUUUGUGGGGGGAGGAAAGUCCGAACACCCCCGAGCACAUAAUUUAUGUGCUCGGAGCAGGGUAGCGGGUAACGCCCGCACGCGGUAACGCGAGAGUUGCGAGCAGAGACGCCCUAGACCCGAAAGGGUCGGGCGCCCGGCGACAAAAACUUUUGUCGCAUAGGGCGAGUCCCGCCAGUAAUGGCGGGAGUGAAACGGCUAAACACUUACCUGGGUGCAAGAACAAAGCCCCGCCCCCUAAGCAAUUGAUUCUAUCAGGAAAAAACCUGAAAGAACCCUAAUAAGUAUAUUUUCUUGGGUUCUAGAAUUGAUCUGCAUAGGGGGCGGGGUAAAAAGUAGUUCGCUAGAUCCCGCAAGUAAUUGCGGGACCAGAUAAAUGAUCGCCUAAAACAGAAUUCGGCUUACGGGCUUGCUGGAAUU